ACGCUCGACACCUACUGGAGGCAGCAGUGGGGAAUAUUGCACAAUGGGGGAAACCCUGAUGCAGCGACGCCGCGUGAAGGAAGACGUAUUUCGGUAUGUAAACUUCUAUCAGCAGGGAAGAUAAUGACGGUACCUGACUAAGAAGCCCCGGCUAACUACGUGCAGCAGCCGCGGUAAUCUGAGCGGGCUGGCAAGGC
rnacentral:rRNA from 1 species